rnacentral:rRNA from 1 species
AUUGAACGCUGGCGGCAUGCCUUACACAUGCAAGUCGAACGGCAGCACGGAGCUUGCUCUGGUGGCGAGUGGCGAACGGGUGAGUAAUAUAUCGGAACGUACCCAAGAGUGGGGGAUAACGUAGCGAAAGUUACGCUAAUACCGCAUACGAUCUAAGGAUGAAAGCAGGGGACCGCAAGGCCUUGUGCUCCUGGAGCGGCCGAUAUCUGAUUAGCUAGUUGGUGAGGUAAAGGCUCACCAAGGCAUCGAUCAGUGGCUGGUCUGAGAGGACGACAAGCCACACUGGAAAUGAGACACGGUCCAGACUCCUACGGGAGGCAGCAGUGGGGAAUUUUGGACAAUGGGGGCAACCCUGAUCCAGCAAUGCCGCGUGAGUGAAGAAGGCCUUCGGGUUGUAAAGCUCUUUUGUCAGGGAAGAAACGGUCGUGGCUAAUAUCCAUGGCUAAUGACGGUACCUGAAGAAUAAGCACCGACUAACUACGUGCCAGCCGCCGCAGUAA